rnacentral:rRNA from 1 species
UGGGGGAUAUUGCACAAUGGGCGAAAGCCUGAUGCAGCGACGCCGCGUGGGGGAUGAAGGCCUUCGGGUUGUAAACUUCUUUUGCUCUGAACAAGGCAUGCCUUUGGGGUGUGUUGAGUGCAGGGGUUGAUUAGCGCCGGCUAACUACGUUCCAGCAGCCGCGGUAAUACGUAGGGCGCGAGCGUUGUCCGGAAUUAUUGGGCGUAAAGGGCUUGUAGGUGGCUGGUUGCGUCUGUCGUGAAAGCUCAUGGCUUAACUGUGGGUUUGCGGUGGGUACGGGCUGGCUUGAGUGCAGUAGAGGAGGAUGGAAUUCCUGGUGUAGCGGUGGAAUGCGCAGAUAUCAGGAGGAAUACCGGUGGCGAAGGCGGGUCUCUGGGCUGUUACUGACGCUGAGGAGCGAAAGCGUGGGGAGCGAACAGG